CAGUUAUGUGAUAGUAUUUUAUAAUCAACAUGCGGUUUUCUCAUGUACUAAUUGCUAGUUCACUUUAAAAUGAAAGCAAGAUUGGUUUUUGAUUUGUGAAGUGUUCCUAUGCACAUACCUUCAAGAAGUGAAAGAGAGCUGUCAUUAGGACUGUGGUACCAGUGCCUCUCGUAGGCUUUAACUGCACUCACCUGCCCCGCCUGCAGCCUCCCCAUGCCCCUGCCCAGCUUGGGGCACUCUUGUUUCAGGGUGUGACCCAUAGGCUCACUCCCUGCCUUGACUGUGUCUCAUCACCAUGAACUUGCCAGAUGAGCUGGGCUCUUGGUGACACAUGCUCUGCUCUUCUCACACAGGGAACAAGUUGUCUUGAAGAGUUGUGGAAAAGUGUCUAUCAACACUGUGUAUAACAACUCUGAAAAACAGAAUUCAGCCGGCAACUCUCACACAUGCUUUCUCUAAGCAGCAGAAGUACUAAUAUGUAAUCAACAAAAGUAGAAAAAAUUGGAGCAGCAGGCCUGUGUUAUACACUCAGCAUGGUUGUGCAGUUAAUUUUUGGCCUAUAGAGAGUUCACAGGAAACUUACUAUGUGUAUCUGAAGCAACGAAUGAGGAAUCAGGACCAAGGAUGUUACUGGAUAUGUUCAAACAGAAAAUUAAAUCAGCAAACAACUCAAAGGUGAAUAUUUUCAGGUACUAUAGUAUG
rnacentral:lncRNA from 1 species